GAUAAGUCUGAAAACUCCAAGGCUGGCUGAUAGGCUGGAAAUUCAAGCAGGCAUUGAUGUGGCAAUCUUGAGACUAACGGUGGUCUGGGUGCAGAAUUGCUUCCUCUUUGGGAAACCUCCAUCUUUUCUCUAAGGUCUUCAACUAAUUGGAUGAAGCCCAUCCACAUUAUGGAGGGUCACUAGCUUUACUCAAAGCCUACUGAUUUCAUUGUAAGUCACAUCUAAAAAAUACCUUCACAGCAACAUCUAUGCUUUUAUCUGCCAAACAACUGGGCACCGUAUGCUAGCCAAGUUGACACAUAAAAUUAACUGUCACUCCAUGGGACUAGAUGAAAUUACCCAGGAGUUAAUGUAUUUAGAGAAAUAAAGAUGGCCCAGGACAGAGCCCUGGCACGCUCAAACUGCAAAAGGGGAAAAGAACCCAGCAAUGGAGCCUAAGAAGGAGCUGGCAGGAGGUAGGAGGAAAACCAAGACUGUGUGGUGUCUCAGAAGCCAAUGAAGAAGUGCUCCAAAAAGGAAGAUCAACUAUUUCAAGCACUGCCAAGAAAUCCUAUAAGGCUUCUGGAUGUGCAGGAUGGCGCUGGCCUGCAGAAGGCUGCCACGCGCAGGUCGGGGCGGUACUUGCUCUUGAGGAUCCUGUGUCUGAUGCUGCUGAGGGUGGCGCGAGCAUUCUUGUUUUUUUCUGUUGUUUGUAUGUUUGUUCUUUUGAGAUGGAUUCUCACUCUGUUGCCCAGACUGGAGUGCAGUGACGCAAUCUCGGCUCACCACAACCUCUGCCUCCUGGGUUCAAGCGAUUCUCCUGCCUCAGCCUCCUGAGUAGCUGGGACUAUAGGCGCGCACCACCAUGCCUGGCUAAUUUUUGUAUUUUUAUUACAGACGGGGUUUCACUACGUUGGCCAGGCUGGUCUCGAACUCCUGACCUUGUGAUCCACCCACCUCCGCCUCCCAUUAGUGCUGGGAUUACAGGCCUGAGCCACCCCGCCCUGCCCGAGCAUUCUUGUUAAUGGUGGUCUGCAUGUAGAAGGUGGCAGGCUUCCACUGGCUGGAUCUCUGCUUCACAACUAUGAAACCUUUGCCGUGGGCUGCCGGCUCCACGCCCACAGUCUUGCGUUGAAUAAGCCCAUUGUAGUGGAAGCAGUUGCAGGCCUUCAAGUUAUUGGGCAUGGUGCUGUAGGUCUGCUUAUUCCUCUUGAUCAGGAAACUGGAGCAGUGCCAACCACCCGUUGCAGAUAUGCAGACAUGGCGGCUUCUUUCGCAGCCGCAGCCGGAGACUGAAAAUUAUCUAUAGAUUUUAAAUGCUUUUUUUUUUGAGAUGGAGUCUCACUCUUGUCACCCAGGCUGGAGUGCAAUGAUGUGAUCUUGGCUCACUGCAACCUCUGCCUCCCAGGUUCAAGCAAUUCUCCUGCCUCAGUGUUAGAUAUGAGUUCUAAAU
rnacentral:lncRNA from 1 species